rnacentral:rRNA from 1 species
UCAGAACGAACGCUGGCGGCAGGCUUAACACAUGCAAGUCGAGCGCCCCGCAAGGGGAGCGGCAGACGGGUGAGUAACGCGUGGGAAUCUACCCAUCUCUACGGAACAACUCCGGGAAACUGGAGCUAAUACCGUAUACGUCCUUUUGGAGAAAGAUUUAUCGGAGAUGGAUGAGCCCGCGUUGGAUUAGCUAGUUGGUGGGGUAAUGGCCUACCAAGGNGACGAUCCAUAGCUGGUCUGAGAGGAUGAUCAGCCACACUGGGACUGAGACACGGCCCAGACUCCUACGGGAGGCAGCAGUGGGGAAUAUUGGACAAUGGGCGAAAGCCUGAUCCAGCCAUGCCGCGUNAGUGAUGAAGGCCCUAGGGUUGUAAAGCUCUUUCAACGGUGAAGAUAAUGACGGUAACCGAGAAGA